rnacentral:rRNA from 1 species
UACAGAGGGUGCGAGCGUUGUCCGGAAUCACUGGGCGUAAAGGGCGCGUAGGCGGCCUGAUAAGUCGGGGGUGAAAUCCUGCGGCUUAACCGCAGGGCUGCCUUCUAAACUGUCAGGCUAGAGCACAGUAGAGGCAGGUGGAAUUCCCGGUGUAGCGGUGGAAUGCGUAGAGAUCGGGAAGAACAUCAGUGGCGAAGGCGGCCUGCUGGGCUGUUGCUGACGCUGAGGCGCGAAAGCGUGGGGAGCAAACAGG